UAGGGAAUCUUCCGCAAUGGGCGAAAGCCUGACGGAGCAACGCCGCGUGAGUGAUGAAGGUCUUCGGAUCGUAAAACUCUGUUAUUAGGGAAGAACAAAUGUGUAAGUAACUAUGCACGUCUUGACGGUACCUAAUCAGAAAGCCACGGCUAACUACGUGCCAGCAGCCGCGGUAAUACGUAGGUGGCAAGCGUUAUCCGGAAUUAUUGGGCGUAAAGCGCGCGUAGGCGGUUUUUUAAGUCUGAUGUGAAAGCCCACGGCUCAACCGUGGAGGGUCAUUGGAAACUGGAAAACGUGAGUGCAGAAGAUGAAAGUGGAAUUCCAUGUGUAGCGGUGAAAUGCGCAGAGAUAUGGAGGAACACCAGUGGCGAAGGCGACUUUCUGGUCUGUAACUGACGCUGAUGUGCGAAAGCGUGGGGAUCAAACAGG
rnacentral:rRNA from 1 species